UACAGAGGUCUCAAGCGUUGUCCGGAAUCAUUGGGCGUAAAGCGCGUGUAGGCGGCUCGAUAAGUCCGCUCUGAAAGUCCGGGGCUCAACCCCGGGAGGCGGGUGGAUACUGUCGAGCUAGAGUCCGGAAGAGGCGAGUGGAAUUCCUGGUGUAGCGGUGAAAUGCGCAGAUAUCAGGAGGAACACCAAUGGCGAAGGCAGCUCGCUGGGACGGUACUGACGCUGAGACGCGAAAGCGUGGGGAGCAAACAGG
rnacentral:rRNA from 1 species